AGAGUUUGAUCCUGGCUCAGGAUGAACGCUAGCGGGAGGCCUAACACAUGCAAGUCGAACGGGAUUGAGAGCUUGCUCUCAUGAGAGUGGCGCACGGGUGAGUAACGCGUAUGCAACCUGCCUUUAACUGAGGGAUAGCCCAUAGAAAUGUGGAUUAAUACCUCAUAGUUCUUUUGAGUCGCAUGAUUUGGAAGAGAAAGCUCCGGCGGUUAAAGAUGGGCAUGCGUGACAUUAGCUAGUUGGUGAGGUAACGGCUCACCAAGGCUACGAUGUCUAGGGGUUCUGAGAGGAUGAUCCCCCACACUGGUACUGAGACACGGACCAGACUCCUACGGGAGGCAGCAGUGAGGAAUAUUGGUCAAUGGGCGCAAGCCUGAACCAGCCAUCCCGCGUGCAGGAUGACGGCCCUAUGGGCUGUAAACUGCUUUUAUACACCAAGAAAAAUCCGAACGUGUUCGGACCCGACGGUAGUGUAUGAAUAAGCAUCGGCUAACUCCGUGCCAGCAGCCGCGGUAA
rnacentral:rRNA from 1 species